rnacentral:rRNA from 1 species
UUGGAGGGCAAGUCUGGUGCCAGCAGCCGCGGUAAUUCCAGCUCCAAUAGCGUAUAUUAAAGUUGUUGCAGUUAAAAAGCUCGUAGUUGAAUUUCGGGAUCAAAUUGUCGGUCGUGCCUCGGUACGCACUGGUAUUAUUGGUUCCUACCUUCUUAAGAACCGCGAUGUCAUUAAUUUGGUGUCGUGGGGAAUCAGGACUGUUACUUUGAAAAAAUUAGAGUGUUUAAAGCAGGCUUACGCUUGAAUACAUUAGCAUGGAAUAAUGAAAUAGGACGUUUGAUUCUAUUUUGUUGGUUUCUAGGAUUGACGUAAUGAUUAAUAGGGAUAGUUGGGGGCAUUAGUAUUCAAUUGUCAGAGGUGAAAUUCUUGGAUUUAUUGAAGACUAACUACUGCGAAAGCAUUUGCCAAGGAUGUUUUCAUUAAUCAAGAACGAAAGUUAGGGGAUCGAAGACGAUCAGAUACCGUCGUAGUCUUAACCAUAAACUAUGCCGACUAGGAAUCGGGCGAUGUUAUUCUCAUGACUCGCCCGGCGCCUUAUGGGAAACCAAAGUGUUUGGGUUC